UUACGGCCAGAUCACCUUGAAAAUAUCGGUUCCCGUACGAUCACCGAAUUUAAGCAAGGCCGAUCCUGGUCAUUACUUAGAUGGGUUACCGCUUGGGAAUACCAAUUGCUGUAA